GCCCGGGUGGCGAAACUGGUAGACGCGGGCGACUUAAAAUCGCCUGGCUUCGGCCGUGUGGGUUCGAAUCCCGCCCCGGGCA
rnacentral:tRNA from 1 species